GGCCUUUUUUUUGACUGAUGCCAAGACCUCCGCCUUUGCAAAUAUGAUAAGGGAAAAUGUGCCAGUGCUCUCCACAUACCCUGUUAAUGUUUAAGCCUGAUAACCCCCUUUUUUUUGGGCGGGAGUUGCAAACUGACAGAUCUGAAGCCAAAAGUGACUGAUCACGACUUGCUUUUUCCUCUCCUCACCCAAAGUGAAGUUUCUCUUUUUUUCUGGGGGGGAAGCAACAUGGAGGAUCGAGGUGAGAACUAUCCACGCUCAGAAAAAAAGGACACAAAUGACAACGAAGAUGGGAUACGUCGCCGGCUGAGAGACAGAGAUCUUCUCCGCAAGAGGAAGGCAGAGGCGCAGGAGAAGGAAACUUACCAGUGGGUUCAUCGAGAGAAGAGUAGGAAGAAGAGGGAGAGGAAGGAGGAGAAGAGCACUUCCAGCCGGAAAGGACGACCAAGGAGAAAGGAGGCCGACCCGGACACCCAACCCAUCGAAGAAGCGCCUUUGACAGGGGAGGGAACAGCUGGAGAGGAAGUCCCCAGCAGUGUUCCUGUCCAAGACCAGCCUGCCAAGGUCCACAUCGGGCAAGACCAGGUCCAAGGACAGGAGGAGAUGCUCCCUGGUCCCUCUCAGACAGACAGCACAUUGACAGAGCUCCCGAGCAGCCAGCUGGAGGAAGUAGUGGUGAUCGAAGACUUGGGGCCAGACGAGAAAGAGGACGUGCCAAAAGCUGCGGAGGACCUGUCCACUGUUUCAGACUCCGGAGGAGAAGCAGCACCUAUGACAAGCUUUCACACGUUGGAACAUGAGUACUUCUCCACAGUGUACUUCUGAAGAGUCUCCUCUCUAUUCCGAUCCUCUUCCUUAAAACCUCCUGUGAUACAGAUCAGUGAUAAAAUUCAUAGGCUGUGCAGAAAUGAGACACUGAUGUUACCAAUUGCUCUUUGAAUUCAGGCAUACAAUACAUACAAAUAUACAAUGUUUUGAAUAGUUAAUAUGAUACCUAAUGUAAUCCACCUUACUCAUUGAAUUAUGCCCCCCUUUUUAUAGUGCACCAUGGCAUGUGUUUAUUUUGGAGUAUAUGGGGAUUUUCCACGAAAAAAAAAUACUGUGUAUAACACAACGUUUGGUCUGUUUGGUGUUUAAUUCAUCGUUGAUUACAUUUCUUCUUAUUAUGGGAAAACCCAGUUUUCCACUAAAAUGAGAUAAAAUAACUGGAUAAGCUAGUAAUUAAAUACAAUAUGUUGUUAAUUGUUAUAUAGAGGAUUACACACCGGAAACCCCUAUAUGAGCUGGUAGUGUGAAAAAACCUUACAGGUAGCACUUGAGGUCAGACACAUCCAUUUUAAUCACGGGCUGUGCUUCUAAUUGAAUUGCUGUUAACAAUGAAGGUGAACCUAUAAGCAAAUGUUACUGCUUGUUUUAUUGAGAAGAAUUUGCAAUAAAAUGUAGUGUUUCUCACAAAACUCU
rnacentral:lncRNA from 1 species